rnacentral:lncRNA from 1 species
AAAAUAAAUUUAAAGUUGAAAGCAUCUAGGCAAUCUCUAAUUUUAAAAAAAAAAAUCAUCUUGCUCAGUCAAGAAAAAAGCCCACACAGGUAAUUCUUUUUUAAUGAUAAAAAGUUAACCACCCAUGCGAGAGCAAUGUAGAUAGAACAUCUCUGAUUGUACCACUAGUUCUCUUCACUACUCUCCAUGACACACUGAUCCAGAACCUAGAAUACUGUGUUUCGUCACCUGUGGCUUUCAAGUGAUCAUCAUCAAAUAGUUUCUUAAAAUGAAAGAGACAGAUAAUUGAUUAGGAUUUCAUGGGUCUUGGCUCUCACCAAAGUGCUGCUUCAUGUUUCUUAGUCACAUGAAACAUGUUUAUACUUUGUGAUGUCACCAAAUCAUGUGGCAUGGCAAAGAGAUUCAAGAAUAGAAAGAGGCCCUGGGUUCAAUUCCCAGUGCUGCCAAUAAACAAACAAACAAACAAAAGAACAAAUAAAUAAAUAAAAUUUAAGCUAGAACAAUUUUCAGAUGCACAAAGAGAUAAAAAUAAGCAGAAACCCAAAUUGUACAAAUCACUUGGCCAAAUACCCUUUGAAGUGACGUGUGGACCAGAGUAAAUAGGAAUCACUGUAUAUCAUUAGUGCAAAAUGGAACCUUAAAACAAGCUGGAUAGGACCCAGUUCUAUGGGGCCGAAAUGCAAAUGGGAGUUAAAAUUCUAUCUGCAGACACAUUGAUCAGGGCUGUGGAGAGUGGCUACUUACAAGGGAAAAACACUACUAUUCCCUGUGUUUCAAUGCUAGUUUUUGUUUUGUUUUAUUUUGUGGUGCUGGGGAUUGAACCCAGGGGUUUAGUGCAUGCAAGGCAAGCACUCUACCAACUGAGCUAAAUCCUCAGCCCUCAACGCUAGUUUCUUCUGCAAGAUCUCCAGUUCACUGGUCAGGUCAGCUUUAUUUUAAUACUCUUCCUAAUUUGUUAGAACAAUAACACAAGGAGUAGGAUUAGGGAGAAACUUUUUAGAGGAUUGUCGGAAAAGCUCAUUUCAUGAAAAUAAAAGGCUGACUGUGUCAGUAUUGUUUGUACCACACAUAUGUGCCGUUCAUUUUUGUUCUUUUGUUGAUUAUCACAACAGACCAGCUCGCUUAGGAUAAGGCUGUAUGAGAGAGGUGACUACAGAGCCCUGGUGUCUGAGCUCAGGGAAGACUGCUUCUGAAUCCACAAUCGCUACCCUCUCAAGGAGAUUUACUCCGUCCAUGUGUUGGAGGGCUGCUGGGUCCUCUACAAGAUGCCCAACUACAGGGGGCAGCAGUACCUGCUCAGGCUAGGAGACUACAGGUGCUACCACGACUGGGGCACAAUGGACGCCAAAGUCGGCUCUCGGAGACGGGUCAUCCAUUUGUAUGAAGCAGUGCUUUUCUUUAUGAUCCACAUAGAGAUGCAAUAAAUAAACUUUUUUUCUGGCACUAAGUGGCUUGCUUAUCA